rnacentral:lncRNA from 1 species
GAUGGAGUGCAUCUGCCCCAAGUGGAGGCAGCAGCAGCAGCAGGAGGGAGGUGUCGGGGCAGUGGGGCCGCAGGGCCAGUCCUCAGGUUGGUUACUCAGUUGUCCUCCCUGGUCUGUCCUCAAGGCGUGAUUUGGGCUGGGGUUCUGGCUGCCGUCCAGCCCUCCCUGGUUGCUGUGAGCCUGGCUCUCUAGCCAGCCCUAGAAGUCCGUGAGUUAGUUCUCUGUUGCUUGCAACCAAGAACCCUGACAAGAAAGAAAACUGGCUCAGAGAGGCUGAGUAACCUGCUCAAGAUGACACAGCUUGUGGGUGGCUGAGUUGGCCUUCCAACCCAGAUUCCUGUCAUGUUCCUCAAGCCGACAGGUUCAGCUUGGUUGUGACCUCUGCUAGAAGCCCUCCCUGGCCUCCCUGUGCACUGAGCUGGUGGUUCCUCCUUUGCGCCCCAGGUACAUGCUCAGAUCUGUGUACCCUACACUUUGUCCUCCAGCUUCGUGUUUGGAUGUUCACAACUCCCAUGAGAAGGGCCCCCGAGAGCUGGCACAGUGCAUGUGUUUCCUCUCCAGACUUCUACAAACCUGGCACAUAAUUGUUUGCUGAAAGAUGGCAUGUUCCUAAAACAGAGGAAGUAGAACCGAAUAAAGCGAAAUCCAACUUCCCA